UACAGGGGGGGCAAGCGUUGUUCGGAUUUACUGGGCGUAAAGGGCGCGUAGGCGGCCAGCACAAGUCAGUUGUGAAAUCUCCGAGCUUAACUCGGAACGGUCAACUGAUACUGUGCGGCUAGAGUGCGGAAGGGGCAACUGGAAUUCUUGGUGUAGCGGUGAAAUGCGUAGAUAUCAAGAGGAACACCUGCGGCGAAGGCGGGUUGCUGGGCCGACACUGACGCUGAGGCGCGAAAGCCAGGGGAGCGAACGGG
rnacentral:rRNA from 1 species